CUGAGGUCUUUUCAGUGAUCCUGGGUUCACUGUGGGGCUGCCCUGGAUCCAGCCCUCUGGAGUUCAAUGCAGUACAACCCCCUUUGCCUCGGCACAGCUGCUGCCUCCUGGGACCCAGGAGCCCUCACGAACAUGGCCGGGUGGUUCUCAACAGGGCUCCUGAGGGCAGGGUGAGCAGUAUGUAUAGCCUGCUUCUUGAAUCAGGAGGCUGUGAGAAGCACUGCUUUUCCAUGGAUGCACAUUUUAUUUCCCUGCUUUAACACAAAUUCCUUGACUCCCCAAACUUCAGUUUAUCAAGUUGUAACCUUUGAAGUGUGAUUAUUCCAGGCAAAUCUAGCUGGCAGGGGUCUUUGUCCUCAGAGGCAAAGCUGUCAGGCCUUGCCCAAACCAGAGUUUGGUGAGCCCAAACUCUAAAUAUUCCAACGUGAUCAGACUGUUGCAAAAGCAUGCUGUGUCCUGACAAGUCUUAUCAUGUGCCAGGGGACAAGCAGAGAAAUGUCUUCUGGCCAGAACUUGCAAAGCUUCCCCUACAGCUCUACAGCCUUAAUUACUCACUUGGAAAACAAAAUACAAUUUUUGGGUCAUGCAAACUUUGUUCCCUAAUGCACAAGAAUCUGGUGUCUUAAGAAGAGCUGAGCAAGGCUUCUACCUGCCUUUGUCUGUGACCCCCUUAGUGUCACGCAGAGAAAACGACUGAAUUGUGGACCAAGUCCUCAAUGAGACCUUAAAAUUAUGGAUUUUUAAAGAUUAAAUGGCCAAGUUACUUAAAUAUUAUAAGACUUGCCUAUAAGUUACUUUCCUUUUACACGAGGUGUGUGAGCUCUGCAAUCUGUUUGAAUGUCCUGCCCAUAGCCAAGCAGUUCAGUUACUAUGUUCAAUUCAGGUUCAGUCUGUUUUACUUCAGUUGCACUAAAAGUAGUUUCUCACUUAACUUCUGAAAUGAGCCUUAACAUCAUGCUGUAAUUCACACAGCACAUGGUAAGAAAGCAUCGUUACAGUAAGAUUUUUUUUUUUAAUACUCAGGACUGAGUAGAGAAUAUCAACUCUCAGGAAAGGAGCAUGCAAUUCUUUUUUCUAGGAGAAAAACUAAUGGAGGUUAGGUUAAAAGUCUUCAACAUUUUAGGAAUUUCAGCAAAGGUUAUGUAAGACCUUUCAAAAGCACAAGUUUUAUAAUAGUUUUAAGCUUUUCAGCACUAUAAAUAUGAAAACAGUUUGUACUUAGAAGUAUAUAAAGUAAAAAAUCUGCUAGCGCUACCUUAGCAGUUUUUUGGGGAACUUCUACUACUAACGGAAGUGAAAAUAUGUGCUAGCAUGCAGGGCUGGAGAAAUUCUAACAAAUAUCCCAUUUUAUACCAGGUGUUUUGGCUAAAAUGGGUGGGUUCAAGUUCCAGGAAUGGAGUGGGAGCCAGGGGCAAAAGCUAGGAGAGAUUUACAAGCAGUUGCCUGGGUUUAGACUGAGUUCUACUGGAAUGACAACUACUGACUCUGUGCUGACUCUCCCAGUCUACAACAAAAUAAGUGCAGUUGAGCAGUGUUGAUCUGUUUGCUGUAGCAGUGAUGGUGUAACUGAGGAAGUACGUUAUUUCACAGUCCUAGGGUUAAAACUUCUCAUAUUUAAGGCGAAGGUUACAAGUACAAAUUUUACUUUUUCCACCUUGGAAAAAUCUGGGGGCUGGAUGGAAAGCAGAACUUUCAGCAGGCUGAGUAUUCUAAUCGACAGCCUUGCACAGGAUUAGGUAGUUUGUUUAUGUUUUGAAGGCCAAUCUGCAUGUUUUAGCAGUGCUGCAGCAAGGCAGUGUUUAAGCACCUUCAUAAAUGAAGCUUAGCAAUUUUCCCAGUUAUAAAAGCUAAGUGAUUAACCAUUACUGAAAAACUGUAUUUGACAUUUUUGCCAUCCAGUAUAAUUCCAAGGAUGGUAACUUGCUUUAUACUGAAAUAAGCCCACUGACAGAAAUGUUGCGACUGCCAGAUCAAGGCCAGUAUUAACCUACACACACAGCUUGAAGAUCAAAGUUGUGUGAUGCUUUUUAGCUUCAGUAACCUUAUCCAUGGCUUGCAUGCUACAGUGAAAUUGUGAGGAUAAAUGUAACCAAAAUGAGCAUGAGAAACCGCUAAUGUGGCACCUCAGUGAACUUCAGUGGAUGGCUGAGGCACAGUGAAGAAAAAUUAAACAGCAAGAAGCAGCAUCCAAGCAGCAAGAGACUGUCCAUAAAUGGAAUCAUGUUUUUUCCUCAUACCCUCCUCCUCCCCUAAAAUACUGAACAGAAAC